AUCCAUCUGACGAGUUCGAACUAGGACGAAACGCGCGUCAAACUGGAU
rfam:Schistosoma margrebowiei strain Zambia genome assembly, scaffold: SMRZ_contig0000246